rnacentral:rRNA from 1 species
UACGUAGGGUGCGAGCGUUAAUCGGAAUUACUGGGCGUAAAGCGCACGUAGGCGGCUUUGUAAGUUAGAGGUGAAAUCCCGGGGCUCAACUCCGGAAUUGCCUUUAAGACUGCAUCGCUAGAAUUGUGGAGAGGUAAGUGGAAUUCCGAGUGUAGAGGUGAAAUUCGUAGAUAUUCGGAAGAACACCAGUGGCGAAGGCGACUUACUGGACACAUAUUGACGCUGAGGUGCGAAAGCGUGGGGAGCAAACAGG